GUACACGCUGUGACUAGCAUAUCAAUAAGCGGAGGAAAAGAAACUAACAAGGAUUCCCCUAGUAACGGCGAGUGAAGCGGGAAGAGCUCAAAUUUGAAAUCUUAAAGGGUUUCCCUUUACGAAUUGUAGUUUAAAGAAGUGUUUUCUGUUGAGGUUUUGGUAAAAGUUCUUUGGAAUAGGACAUCAUAGAGGGUGAGAAUCCCGUAUUUGACCUUUACUUUCAACUUUGUGAUACACUUUCAAAGAGUCGGAUUGUUUGGGAAUGCAGUCCAAAAUGGGUGGUAAAUUUCAUCUAAAGCUAAAUAUUGGCGAGAGACCGAUAGCGAACAAGUACCGUGAGGGAAAGAUGAAAAGAACUUUGAAAAGAGAGUUAAACAGUACGUGAAAUUGUCAAAAGGGAAGCGUUUGACACCAAUGUUGUUUUUCUGAAAAUCAAUUAAAGAACUGUUUAUGCUAAGUUGUUUAGACUUUAUCAGCUAACUGUUUAGUUUUGAGCUUUUCUUUAAUGCACUUUUCAGUUAACAAGUCGACAUCAAUUUCUUUUGCUGUAAAAAAGCUUGAGGAAGGUGGCUUGAGAUUCGUCUUAAGUGUUUAUAGCCUCUUGCCUAUGCAGUCGGAGAGAUUGAGGUCUGCAGCGUAGAUCCUUCGGGGCUAAAUGCAUUUGUGCUAAGUUAUAGCAUUUCAUAGACAACUUGUUGACUAUGAUUUGUCUUGUAGCUUACUCGCUUAUGUUAUUUUACCUACGCUUAGGAUGUUGACAGCAGUAUAGACUGU
rnacentral:rRNA from 1 species